UGAAAACCUCUCCCCUGAUUUGUGACUAAUUUGAGGUGAGGCUGGACGACUAUUGUGUUGAAGUAUUCGAUUCCACCGUCAUCCUGAAAAAGCCAAAUAUAUUUGAAUAUCAUUAGGGUUCGAUGUCCGGUCAGUCGAGGCAGCUCAGAGGUUGGGAUCCGGCCUCUCCGGACCACCUUCAACAAAUAACAGCUCUCCGAUUCUACAGUCCCGGCCUCAAAUUUCGGUGUUCCUGGCAACGACCUUCGCCCAUGCAGCAGGAGCCUCCACCAGACCGUCCUCAGCAAGGAUAUUUGCAAUCGCGAGUGCAUCGCCCGCGGUACUCGACGGCUAAGGAUAGGAUUCUCGUCCGUGCGGCUGCAUACUUGGAGCUGUACCUAUAUCCAGUCCUGCACACAUACAUACAUACUGUAUAUCGUAUCAACACCCACGUUACAGGGUGGUAAGUAUAUCGUACAGUACGGACCGGUAUAAUACACACCUACGGGCAAGUACGUACGGAUAGAUUUACUUUGCAUCGUAUGCGGCCGCAGAUCGCGUUUCCGCUUCUUCGGCACUAACGAUAAGUGAU